UGGGGAAUAUUGCACAAUGGGGGAAACCCUGAUGCAGCAACGCCGCGUGGGUGAAGAAGUAUUUCGGUAUGUAAAGCCCUAUCAGCAGGGAAGAAGAGAGACGGUACCUGACUAAGAAGCCCCGGCUAACUACGUGCCAGCAGCCGCGGUAAUACGUAGGGGGCAAGCGUUAUCCGGAUUUACUGGGUGUAAAGGGAGCGUAGACGGUUUUAUAAGUCUGAAGUGAAAGGCCAAGGCUUAACCAUGGAACUGCUUUGGAAACUAUGAGGCUAGAGUGCUGGAGAGGUAAGCGGAAUUCCUAGU
rnacentral:rRNA from 1 species